rnacentral:rRNA from 1 species
UAGGGAAUCUUCGGCAAUGGACGAAAGUCUGACCGAGCAACGCCGCGUGAGUGAAGAAGGUUUUCGGAUCGUAAAACUCUGUUGUUAGAGAAGAACAAGGACGUUAGUAACUGAACGUCCCCUGACGGUAUGUAACCAGAAAGCCACGGCUAACUACGUGCCAGCAGCCGCGGUAAUACGUAGGUGGCAAGCGUUGUCCGGAUUUAUUGGGCGUAAAGCGAGCGCAGGCGGUUUCUUAAGUCUGAUGUGAAAGCCCCCGGCUCAACCGGGGAGGGUCAUUGGAAACUGGGAGACUUGAGUGCAGAAGAGGAGAGUGGAAUUCCAUGUGUAGCGGUGAAAUGCGUAGAUAUAUGGAGGAACACCAGUGGCGAAGGCGGCUCUCUGGUCUGUAACUGACGCUGAGGCUCGAAAGCGUGGGGAGCAAACAGG